AUCUUUUUACAUGGGUACAUUGACUCGGAGCUCUUCUAAGUUAACAAUCAGCAAUGCUCCUUGCAGUCUGAAGUUCCACAAGGGGACAGAAAUCGCCUUUCUAGCUCUUGGUUUUAAGUGAGCUCUUUGGCAGCAAGCAGAUUGAUGGCGACCUCAGGAGAACUGAGCAGAAACCUCAUAGCAGGAUGAAGUGGGCACUUUCCUGAGUCACCGCAGGACAGGUGAGUGUCAGAGACAGGGAGCAGGAACAUGGUGAGUUUUCUGGCCUUUUCUCCCUGCCUGAAGAUGACGCGUCUUUUGCUGUCUAAUGGUGGCAGGAAGCCCCCAAAAGGUUGCCCCAUGUACAUCAAAUCGUCAGCAGAGGUGGAGAAGGGCGGGGUGAGCCAGGGGCUGACAACAUCACUGACGUUAAUGAUGACCUCCGAGGGCCGUCCUCCAGCAGCCGGUACUGGUGACUUCACCCCUGGGGCCUGAGCUCUCUCGCUCUAGUGAAUGAACCACCACCGCACUCAGCCCACUGGCCAGUUUCUCAGAUGCGAGUGCUUUGUUACGAUGAGGUUCAAGGAAACUCAGGGCAUCAGGGUGACCUCUCGGAUCCACACUCAGUCACACAGCCCUUGUCCCCAGCUUUCGUUUGAUAAGGGACGAGUCAGCCUGGGUGGCCAUUCUCCAUCCCGGCAUCAAGCUGUGGGUGGGCAGCUGCCCCGCUUUCCUCUCCCACUGCAGGUGACCUCCUCCAGUCCCGGGCCACAGCUGACUAAAUGAACUGGAUAAUUAAAGAGGGGAUGAACCAUGCCUUGAGAUUCUGCCGGCCUCAUCAAAAGCACUGUGCCCUUCUUUUUUUUUAUCAAUCUGCUUGGUUUUUAUUUUUAUUUUUUCUCCCUUUGAAAAAUGUUUAGCCUUGAGAAACUUCCUAACCAUGGCACUGUCCACCAUUAGCUGCCAAGGCCAGAGGGUCUGAAAAGUUUUGAAAUGCCCUGCACUUAGAAAAGCCAACUAAGAAAAACUAGGAGGGGGAGCUGAGGGGUCAAUAGCCUUUUCUGACCUUAAACCAAAGCACCAAACUUUUAGAAAUCAAAGAUUUUGUACAACAUCAAAAUAUUUGUUUAGAAACAUCCUGUUCCAGGGGGAGGGGAGAUGGGAAUGGAAGUGGGCAAUCCUCUGGUUACUAGAAUUCAAGUACAAUCCUCACGAAUCAUGAUUGAUUUAUAUGAUUAAUUCAUAUGCACAUUAAUAUACCAUAUGGUUAGUUAUACACAUGUUUAUCUAUAUACAUACAUACACAUGUAAGUGUUCGUGUGGGGGUGUAUACAUAUUGUUAAACUAUGGAGAAAAAUUUAACUUCAUAAGAAAUUAACCCACUAAGUUCCUUCACAACUUUCCAUUUCUUCCAGGAGAAAAUCCCCAUGAUCGAAGACACUAAAUUAAGCCUGGAGGACGGUCACUUCCUUCCUCGCUGUACAGUGUUCCCUGCACAUCGGGAAGUAACAGGAACUCACUGGUCACGUGUGGAUGAGUGACAUUAGUACAUCAGCAAGGGUGCGGGUGCAGAAAGACACAGUGAUACCAAGGGCAAUGCAGACAUAAAGGACUAGUAAGAACCUUGAAGCUGAUUGGGUUCCAGGCAACAGAAUCAAAGACUAGCUUCCAAGUUUUUCCUACUUAUAGUAGCUCCGUAACUAACGUUUUCACCAAGUUCAAAUUCCAAAUGCUUCUAUCCAUUGAACAUCUGCUCACCUGAAUUGUCAUGACUCCACACCUUAUUUGCAACUACCUCCUUUUGUUUUGAUGUCCUCCGUGCACAUCUGUAGGAGGGUGGGGCCCUGAUCAAGAGUGGAGUCUACACCUUGGCCGACCACUCGCCAGCUCCAGACCUGUGACUUUGCUUCACGGCAGCUUAGAUUUUGCUCGUUUGUACCGUGAUGGCUAUACUAGAAUGUGUAUCAUAUGGGCAUGGUGAAAAUCAAAUGGAUCAAGACAUCUAUACAGUCCUCAGAACAGUGCCUCAUAAAUACUAUGUAAUAAAUAAGUGACAUUUUAUUUACUAUCAUUUAAUUGAAAGA
rnacentral:lncRNA from 1 species